GAGAGUUUGAUCCUGGCUCAGGAUGAACGCUAGCUACAGGCUUAACACAUGCAAGUCGAGGGGCGGCAUGGUCUUAGCUUGCUAAGGCCGAUGGCGACCGGCGCACGGGUGAGUAACGCGUAUCCAACCUGCCUUACACUCUUGGACAGCCUUCUGAAAGGGAGAUUAAUACAAGAUGUUAUCAUGAGUAAGCAUUUUCGCAUGAUUAAAGGUUUACCGGUGUAAGAUGGGGAUGCGUUCCAUUAGAUAGUAGGCGGGGUAACGGCCCACCUAGUCUUCGAUGGAUAGGGGUUCUGAGAGGAAGGUCCCCCACAUUGGAACUGAGACACGGUCCAAACUCCUACGGGAGGCAGCAGUGAGGAAUAUUGGUCAAUGGACGAGAGUCUGAACCAGCCAAGUAGCGUGAAGGAUGAAGGUUCUAUGGAUUGUAAACUUCUUUUAUACGGGAAUAAACGAAUCCACGCGUGGAUUUUUGCAUGUACCGUAUGAAUAAGGAUCGGCUAACUCCGUGCCAGCAGCCGCGGUAAUACGGAGGAUCCGAGCGUUAUCCGGAUUUAUUGGGUUUAAAGGGAGCGUAGAUGGGUUGUUAAGUCAGUUGUGAAAGUUUGCGGCUCAACCGUAAAAUUGCAAUUGAUACUGGCAGUCUUGAGUACAGUUGAGGUAGGCGGAAUUCGUGGUGUAGCGGUGAAAUGCUUAGAUAUCACGAAGAACUCCGAUUGCGAAGGCAGCUUACUAACCUGUAACUGACAUUGAUGCUCGAAAGUGUGGGUAUCAAACAGGAUUAGAUACCCUGGUAGUCCACACGGUAAACGAUGAAUACUCGCUGUAGGCGAUAUACAGUCUGCGGCCAAGCGAAAGCAUUAAGUAUUCCACCUGGGGAGUACGCCGGCAACGGUGAAACUCAAAGGAAUUGACGGGGGCCCGCACAAGCGGAGGAACAUGUGGUUUAAUUCGAUGAUACGCGAGGAACCUUACCCGGGCUUAAAUUGCAACCGAAUAUGGCGGAAACGCUAUAGCUAGCAAUAGCGGUUGUGAAGGUGCUGCAUGGUUGUCGUCAGCUCGUGCCGUGAGGUGUCGGCUUAAGUGCCAUAACGAGCGCAACCCUUGCCGAUAGUUACUAACAGGUUAUGCUGAGGACUCUGUCGGGACUGCCAUCGUAAGAUGUGAGGAAGGUGGGGAUGACGUCAAAUCAGCACGGCCCUUACGUCCGGGGCUACACACGUGUUACAAUGGGGGGUACAGAGGGCUGCUACCACGCAAGUGGAUGCCAAUCCCAAAAACCUCUCUCAGUUCGGAUUGAAGUCUGCAACCCGACUUCAUGAAGCUGGAUUCGCUAGUAAUCGCGCAUCAGCCACGGCGCGGUGAAUACGUUCCCGGGCCUUGUACACACCGCCCGUCAAGCCAUGGGAGCCGGGGGUACCUGAAGUGCGUAACCGCAAGGAGCGCCCUAGGGUAAAACUGGUGACUGGGGCUAAGUCGUAACAAGGUAGCCG
rnacentral:rRNA from 1 species